rnacentral:rRNA from 1 species
AGUGAACGCUGGCGGUAGGCCUAACACAUGCCAGUCGAACGGCAGCACAGUAAGAGCUUGCUCUUACGGGUGGCGAGUGGCGGACGGGUGAGGAAUACAUCGGAAUCUACUUUUUCGUGGGGGAUAACGUAGGGAAACUUACGCUAAUACCGCAUACGACCUACGGGUGAAAGCAGGGGAUCUUCGGACCUUGCGCGAUUGAAUGAGCCGAUGUCGGAUUAGCUAGUUGGCGGGGUAAAGGCCCACCAAGGCGACGAUCCGUAGCUGGUCUGAGAGGAUGAUCAGCCACACUAGAACUGAGACACGGUCCAGACUCCUACGGGAGGCAGCAGUGGGGAAUAUUGGACAAUGGGCGCAAGCCUGAUCCAGCCAUACCGCGUGGGUGAAGAAGGCCUUCGGGUUGUAAAGCCCUUUUGUUGGGAAAGAAAAGCAGCAGGUUAAUACCCCGCUGUUCUGACGGUACCCAAAGAAUAAGCACCGGCUAACUUCGUG